AGUGAACGCUGGCGGUAGGCCUAACACAUGCAAGUCGAACGGCAGCACAGGAGAGCUUGCUCUCUAGGUGGCGAGUGGCGGACGGGUGAGGAAUACAUCGGAAUCUGCCCAGUCGUGGGGGAUAACGUAGGGAAACUUACGCUAAUACCGCAUACGACCUUCGGGUGAAAGAGGGGGAUCGCAAGACCUCUCGCGAUUGGAUGAGCCGAUGUCGGAUUAGCUAGUUAGCGGGGUAAUGGCCCACCAAGGCGACGAUCCGUAGCUGGUCUGAGAGGAUGAUCAGCCACACUGGAACUGAGACACGGUCCAGACUCCUACGGGAGGCAGCAGUGGGGAAUAUUGGACAAUGGGCGCAAGCCUGAUCCAGCCAUACCGCGUGGGUGAAGAAGGCCUUCGGGUUGUAAAGCCCUUUUGUUGGGAAAGAAAUCUUUCAGGCUAAUACCCUGAGAGGAUGACGGUACCCAAAGAAUAAGCACCGGCUAACUUCGUG
rnacentral:rRNA from 1 species